rnacentral:rRNA from 1 species
UACGUAGGGCGCAAGCGUUGUCCGGAAUUAUUGGGCGUAAAGAGCUCGUAGGCGGUUUGUCGCGUCUGUCGUGAAAGCUUGGGGCUUAACCCCAAGUCUGCGGUGGAUACGGGCAGACUAGAGGCAGGUAGGGGAGAACGGAAUUCCCGGUGUAGCGGUGAAAUGCGCAGAUAUCGGGAGGAACACCAGUGGCGCAAGCGGCUGACUGGCCGAGACCUGACGCUGAGGCGCGACAGCGUGGGGAGCAAACCGG